rnacentral:rRNA from 1 species
GGUGCUGCAUGGUUGUCGUCAGCUCGUGCCGUGAGGUGUCGGGUUAAGUCCCAUAACCGAGCGCAACCCUUAUCGUUAGUUGCCAUCUGGUAAUGCAGGGGACUCUAGCGAAACUGCCACCGUAAGGUGAGAGGAAGGUGGGGAUGACGUCAAAUCAGCAGGCCCUUAUGUCCAGGGCUACACACCGUGUUACAAUGGUCGGUACAGAGGGCAGCUACCUGGUGACAGGAUGCCUAAUCUCGAAAACCGGUCUCAGUUCGGAUCGAAGUCUGCAACUCGACUUCGUGAAGCUGGAUUCGCUAGUAAUCGCGCAUCAGCUAUGGCGCGGUGAAUACGUUCCCGGGCCUU